rnacentral:snRNA from 1 species
GUGCUUCCUUCAACAGCACAUAUUAAAAUAAUACAGAGAAGAUUAGCAUGACCCCUGCACAAGGAUAAAACACAAAUCUGUGAAAUAAAAAGAAUAAAA